rnacentral:lncRNA from 1 species
GACUCUCGCGAACUACCGGCAGAUGGCUGCAGUUUAGCAGUCUGAAUAGGAGGACGAAUACGUGUAGUUUUUACCGUUGUAGUAUGUUGGCGUCUAGAAGUUGUUCGUCAACCAACCGACGUUGUUCCGCGCUCUCAUUGCGAUGCAAUGUAUAAAUAAGGGAAAAUCGUGUUUUAGUGUUCCCAUUCAGAUAGAACAAUCUGCUGCAUGUCUUUUUGGGAGUGUGAUUCAAGUGGUGUAAUUUAUCAAAUUUAUCUCAGAUUAAGUCCAGUCUAAUUGGAUUACAGAGGCAAAAGACCAGCAGAAGAAGCAUUGUAGUGGCUCCAACGAUUCGAGUUCCUCGUCGUAUACGCGAAAAUGGACUUUUAUGAUAAGCAAUGCAAGUGAAGCCCCCCCCUUGAUUCAAGCGGCAACGAUGAUUUAUGCAACUGAUGCAGCUAACGUUGAGUCCCACCAGAGCGAAGAAGCAUCGAUUCGAUACCCAUCCCACUUAGCAACAGCCAAGUCAAACAUCCCAUGGCCCUCAUUAAGGCCGAGCAUUGUUAAGGCUCAUCCCAAAAAGCACACACUCAGACUCGGAAAUGGCCACAAAUUCCCCGCAACAGUGACCAUACCGCAUUGCAACAGGAACAGCGGGGUGGCGACCAUAAAUGCGAUGCGCUUCAGCUUGCCUUGCUCAUCUUGCUCGAUGACUCUGACCCCGGCGCACAGUGGCGGAAAGACGGACGAAAUAAAAACAUAUUUCUUGUAUUUCAAAUACUUUGACUAUGUAUGAGUCAAAUUUUCAACUCAAUUAAAAUAAAAUUCAGUCUUCCGGAAUAUUUCACAGUUAGGAGAUGUA